rfam:Parcubacteria bacterium GW2011_GWC1_45_13 TW93_C0001, whole genome shotgun sequence.
GCCGGCGUAGCUCAGUGGCAGAGCGAGGGACUCAUAAGCCCUAGGCCGCAGGUUCGAUCCCUGCCGCCGGCA